rnacentral:lncRNA from 1 species
AGGACGACUCUUGUCCGAUGGUGGGAAGGGUGUGAGGCCUAAUAGUCCCACAUUGGAAAGACUCAUUCCAGAGCCUCGGCAUAUGAGGCGGAUGUCUCCAAAUCCUACAGACGUAUUUUGGGAGGAAAACAAAACCGGAGAGAGGUGAAGGACACUUGCGUGAAGCCCCAAAAUCGGACAAUAUCUGGCAGGGGAGCCCCGCGGUCCCUCCUCAUGUGGCCCCCAGUGGGCACUGGGUGCCUCACAUGCUCCGCGCAAGCGGGGGUGAGGAUGAUAGUGUUAUUUUGAUGAUUAACACAACCAUUGAGAAAAUAUCUAAAUAGUAUUACAAGUUAACGUGAUACAUCAUUACUAAGUUCGACACUCUCGAUACAUUAGAAGAAUGAGAUCAAGAUGUCUUUCAAUGAUUAAUAAUGAGAUAAAAUUUGUAAUAGAAAAGGGAUAGAGAAUUCUAAAUUUUAAUUCAGCAAAGUUUCAAGUAAAAUGUACUCUUAAGGGCAAAAUAGUAAUCUUAAUUGUUAAGAGUAUG